rnacentral:rRNA from 1 species
AUGGGCGUCGGCGACGGCGCACGCGCCAGCACCAAUGGCCCGCCGCCGCUCCCAUGCGUCGGCGUUGUAGUGGUCCCCGGGGUGCGCACCGAACAGAUGGGGGAUCCGUCGAGCUACGUCGUCGCCGGCAAGCUCCUGGUCGCCGCGGCCGGGGCGCUCGCGGGCGUCCUCCUGGCCCUCGUCGCGCUGCACGCGUACACCGGCACCCGGCGCCGGCGCUCGCGCGACCGCCUCCGUCUCCGCCACAGCCUGCAUGCCAUCUCCGACGGCGCCGUCCACGGCGGCGUGGCGGUGGCGCCUUCGCCGCGGGGGCUGGACCCCGCGGUGCUCCGCGCGCUCCCCGUGGCCGCCGCGGGCGACGGGGCCGGGAACUGCGCGGUGUGCCUCGCGGGGCUCGAGCGCGGCGAGGAGGCGCGCGCGCUGCCGCGGUGCGGCCACCGGUUCCACGUGGGGUGCAUCGACGCGUGGUUCCGCGGGAACUCCACGUGCCCGCUGUGCCGCGCGGACGUCGAGGCGCCGGACGACGAUGCCGAGGCUGAGGUGCGCGUAGACGUGGAGACGGGGGACGCCGCGGUCAAGGGCGGUGCGCCGGUGAUGAAGAGGCUGUCGAGCGGCACGGAUCUUGACAAGACGAGGCGGGCCUUUGCGUGCACCCGAUCUGCGUCCUUCUGA